rnacentral:piRNA from 1 species
UAUUUACAUGGAUCAGAGAGUUUAAUUCU